CCUACGGGAGGCAGCAGUGGGGAAUAUUGCACAAUGGGGGAAACCCUGAUGCAGCGACGCCGCGUGAGUGAAGCAGUAUUUCGGUACGUAAAGCUCUAUCAGCAGGAAAGAAAAACCGGCCUUAGGGCCGCCAGACGGUACCUGACUAAGAAGCCCCGGCUAACUACGUGCCAGCAGCCGCGGUAAUACGUAGGGGGCAAGCGUUAUCCGGAUUUAAUGGGUGUAAAGGGGGCGUAGACGGCAGCGCAAGUCUGGAGUGAAAUUCCGGGGCCCAACCCCGGAACUGCUCUGGAAACUGUGAAGCUGGAGUGCAGGAGAGGUAAGCGGAAUGCCUGGUGUAGCGGGGAAAUGCGUAGAUAUCAGGAGGAACACCGGCGGCGAAGGCGGCUUACUGGACUGUAACUGACGUUGAGGCUCGAAGGCGUGGGGAGCAAACAGGAUUAGAUACCCUUGUAGUC
rnacentral:rRNA from 1 species